rnacentral:rRNA from 1 species
CAGUAGCCACGGUAAUACGUAGGGUGCGAGCGUUAAUCGGAAUUACUGGGCGUAAAGCGUGCGCAGGCGGUUCGUUAAGACAGAUGUGAAAUCCCCGGGCUUAACCUGGGAACUGCAUUUGUGACUGACGGGCUAGAGUAUGGCAGAGGGGGGUAGAAUUCCACGUGUAGCAGUGAAAUGCGUAGAGAUGUGGAGGAAUACCGAUGGCGAAGGCAGCCCCCUGGGCCAAUACUGACGCUCAUGCACGAAAGCGUGGGGAGCAAACAGGAUUAGAUACCCGCGUAGUUCCUGUCUCUUAUAA